rnacentral:misc_RNA from 1 species
UCCAACUGUUUGGCUUCGAGACCUUAGUUUGUUGUCUUACCUUUCAGGUUCCAUAACCUUUCAUUUCUUUCUUUUUUUUCCUACUUCAAUUUUUGUUCAUUUUUUCCUUAAAAAAAUAAUAAUAAAGAACACUUUCAAACUAUGCCUAUUAAUAUUUGAAGCCAUUGUCUUCAGUUGGAGGAGUAGGUGCAUCAAUUUUGGUAGCCUUCUGCUUGUUAUGGGUUGGGGUGGUGAACAAAGUCGGAUUUCAUCAAAAUGGAGUAGCUCUAAAUCUUCCAAAAUUACCUUUUACAGUUGGGAUUUACGGUUAUGGCUUCUCUGGUCAUGCUGUUUUUCCAAAUAUUUACUCCUCUAUGAAAGAGACAUCAAGAUUUACAUCAGUUUUAAUUAUCAGGUAAAAGCAAAAUGUUUUUUUUUCUUCCUUUGAACUAGAGCCUAGUCAAUUUCUUUGCCAUAAUUAUUCCUAUCCAUUUGUUCAAUAUGCAAUAGCCUAAAUAUCAUUAUAUAAACAUAUGCAAUGUAUUUCCUUUAUGAGAAUACUAGAUUGAUCACUUCAUAUCAUCUGCCUGUGUUCUCAAAUUUUGAUUAUUUCUCCUUUUUUGUCUUAGAAACAUGCAUUCAUCUAAUCCACAACUGAAAAAAGUGAAUAUGUUGCUUUGCUAAUGUAUUUCUAACAUUGUUGCAGCUUCAUUUUUUGUUGGUUUAUGUACACCGCUGUAGCAAUAUGUGGCUUUUUGAUGUUUGGUGACUCCAUCAAAUCCCAAUAUACAUUAAACAUGCCUGUAGAGUUCAUGGCUUCUAAGAUUGCGGUCUGGACAGCGGUAUGAUAAGACACAUAGUUCAUUAUUAUGAAAAAUUAUCACAUAUGUUCAUAUUAAUUAAAUAGAGCCACUAAUUAUUUUGUAAUCCAAAUAAAAAGUGACAAUAUUUCACUUGGUAUGUAAUAACAUAUUCAAGAAAUAUGUGCCUGAGUGAUUUGCAGGUUGUGAACCCAAUGACAAAGUAUGCCUUGACAAUAACACCUGUGGCAUUGAGUUUAGAGGAACUCAUGCCUUCAGGUCGUCUUAGAUCUUACGGUGUAUCAUUAAUCAUCAGAACAACUUUAGUAGUUUCAACUUUAGUUGUGGCACAAACAUUUCCAUACUUUGGUAAGAACUUACCUAUAUUUUGAUCAGCAUUAGUUUUUAGAUUUUAUUUAGAGCCUUAUUUGCUUUUAUAAAUGGGGUUGCAGGUUUUGUGAUGGCCUUUAUUGGGUCUUCACUUGCAAUGCUUGUUGUAAGUUUUUUCUUCAAACUUCAUUCGCAAUUUGUAAUAUUAAAUAGAAGGACCAAUUUCUCUGUUUUUAUUUUAUGACAGGCUGUUAUCUUUCCAUGCGCAUGUUAUCUCUGCUUACUUCAUGAAAGAUUAACCAAGUUGCAGGUUGAAAUUCUUGACCUCAUUCCCAUUAAUCAUUAUUUUCAAAUAAUAAUUUAUAUUUAUUUAGAUAAGCGGUAAUCCCUCUUGUUCAAUAUUCUAUUAUUUAAUCAGAUUUCAGCUUGCAUACUCACCAUUGGCGUAGGGAUGCUGACUGCCUGUGUUGGUACAUAUUCAUCUAUUUUAAGAAUGGCUAACAAAUUUAUCUAAUGGAAGGAAAAUGAAGUCUUGGAUCUAUUUGUGGAUAUUGGGCUAUCUACAAUUGAAUAUGGUCAACUGACUCCACUCAAUUUCUAUUUUUUUUCUUAAUUCAAAAAGGGAAAAAGGGGAGGGGAACAAGAAAGAAGCCAUAGGUAUUUUGAGUUAAAAAACAAAUUGUGUACUUCAAAUUUUAACUUGGUAAAAUUAGAUGAAAAAUAAGAGAAUUGGGUAAAUUUUGAGGUUGAUGAAGUAUUAUAUUUUGAUAUAUGGUGUUGAAGUGGGCAAAGAAAUGUGAAGGGAAACAAAGUAACUUUUUUUGAUAAACAGUGUUAUAAUUGAUGCGAUUGAUAUACGCAUGCAAAGAACAUCUGAGAGUUCAACAAGAAUUAACUUGUUUGUUGUUAUGUACAACUAAUGAAAUACUAUUUGCCUUAAUAAAAAUAAAGAAUGUUAAAUGG